rnacentral:lncRNA from 1 species
GUGGGUUGAUAUCCCCGUAUCCCGUAUUUCUCCCCAAGUGAGUUGCCAGCAUAAUUGCAAGUCGAGUUGUUGGUGGGGUUGUCCCCCAAGCAUAGUGUUGUUGAAGAUUCAGUGUUCUCCAGCAGCAGUUUUCCCCAGCAUGGAUGCUUUCCUUGUGGAAGAUUCGGCAGUUGAUGGUUUGUCACCUUGGCGCCUCGCCACUUUCUCCAGUGG